rnacentral:misc_RNA from 1 species
GCAUCGAUGAAGAACGCAGCGAAACGCGAUAUGUAGUGUGAAUUGCAGAAUUCAGUGAAUCAUCGAAUCUUUGAACGCACAUUGCGCCUUCCAGUAUCCUGGGAGGCAUGCCUGUCCGAGCGUCGUUUCAACCCUCGAGCCCACGUGGCCCGGUGUUGGGGACGCUGCCCAGCUACCUGGGCAGCCCCCCUAAAUGCAGUGGCGGUCCCGCAAGUCCCAGCCCUUUGCGUAGUAAUAUCAUUCUCGCUCUGGACGGCUCGCGGGCUUACCAGCCUCGAAACCCCCUACAAAGACCGCCCCGGCGGCAACGGUUGACCUCGGAUCAGGUAGGAAUACCCGCUGAACUUAAGCAUAUCAAUAAGCGGAGGA